rnacentral:rRNA from 1 species
GAUGAACGCUGGCGGCGUGUCUAAUACAUGCAAGUCGAGCGAACGGACGAGGAGCUUGCUCCUCUGACGUUAGCGGCGGACGGGUGAGUAACACGUGGAUAACCUACCUAUAAGACUGGGAUAACUUCGGGAAACCGGAGCUAAUACCGGAUAAUAUAUUGAACCGCAUGGUUCAAUAGUGAAAGACGGUUUUGCUGUCACUUAUAGAUGGAUCCGCGCCGCAUUAGCUAGUUGGUAAGGUAACGGCUUACCAAGGCAACGAUGCGUAGCCGACCUGAGAGGGUGAUCGGCCACACUGGAACUGAGACACGGUCCAGACUCCUACGGGAGGCAGCAGUAGGGAAUCUUCCGCAAUGGGCGAAAGCUUGACGGAGCAACGCCGCGUGAGUGGUGAAGGUCUUCGGAUCGUAAAACUCUGUUAUUAGGGAAGAACAAAUGUGUAAGUAACUAUGCACGUCUUGACGGUACCUAAUCAGAAAGCCACGGCUAACUACGUG